CCAGCCGCCGCGGUAAUACGGAGGGUGCAAGCGUUAAUCGGAAUUACUGGGCGUAAAGCGCACGCAGGCGGUUUGUUAAGUCAGAUGUGAAAUCCCCGGGCUCAACCUGGGAACUGCAUCUGAUACUGGCAAGCUUGAGUCUCGUAGAGGGGGGUAGAAUUCCAGGUGUAGCGGUGAAAUGCGUAGAGAUCUGGAGGAAUACCGGUGGCGAAGGCGGCCCCCUGGACGAAGACUGACGCUCAGGUGCGAAAGCGUGGGGAGCAAACAGGAUUAGAUACCCUGGUAGUCCACGCCGUAAACGAUGUCGACUUGGAGGUUGUGCCCUUGAGGCGUGGCUUCCGGAGCUAACGCGUUAAGUCGACCGCCUGGGGAGUACGGCCGCAAGGUUAAAACUCAAAUGAAUUGACGGGGGCCCGCACAAGCGGUGGAGCAUGUGGUUUAAUUCGAUGCAACGCGAAGAACCUUACCUGGUCUUGACAUCCACGGAAGUUUUCAGAGAUGAGAAUGUGCCUUCGGGAACCGUGAGACAGGUGCUGCAUGGCUGUCGUCAGCUCGUGUUGUGAAAUGUUGGGUUAAGUCCCGCAACGAGCGCAACCCUUA
rnacentral:rRNA from 1 species